GGACCAUUUGAAAGCGGAUUAUAUAAAACUAACGCGUAAAUGAGUUCUUCCAAUUUGGAGGUUAUUAAAAUUAGGUAGCGAAAAAAUUAAUUACGUUUGAGGAAGGAACUAAAGUUGGUUUAAAUAAGAAAGAUUGCGGUGUACGUUUUUAGUGGUGGGAAUUCCAAAAGGAACUCUGAAAUGGGAGGGCCAGGGCGGUGCCUGCUGGUUACGGGUCCUCCGGGUGUGGGCAAAACCACUCUGAUCGUUAAGGUUUUUGAGAUGCUUAAAGCCUCUAGCCCUAACUUGAAGAUCAAAGGCUUCUAUACACGAGAAAUCAGGCAAGGAAGCCAGCGUGUUGGUUUUGAAGUUGUUACAUUAGAUGGCCGGACAGCUCCCCUUGCCUCCACCUCUGUGUCCAGCUCAGAGUCUUUAAGAUGGCCAACUGUUGGGAGAUAUAAAGUCGAUAUAGCAUCAUUUGAGUCAUUGGCGUUGCCAGAACUGCAGGUUGAAAAAGAUACAGAUCUUUUCAUCAUAGAUGAGGUUGGGAAGAUGGAGCUAUUUAGUUCAUCGUUUUUUCCGGCUGUUUUGAAGGUUUUGGAAUCAAGUACUCCACUUUUGGCUUCGAUCCCCAUUCCCAAGUUUGGACGGGAUAUACCUGGAGUUGCAAGGCUGAGAAAUCAUCCAGGGGCAAAUAUAUUGACGCUGAAUCCAAGUAAUAGGGAUGGGGCUAAAGAGCAAAUUCAUGGUCAGAUAUUAAACAUGCUGGAACAGCAGCAUAAGCAUUAAGCCUUAAUGCUUUGCUUGCUUCUAUCUAUCUAAGCCACCUCUUUCCCUCUACACACAAGUUGGGAAAUCAAAGCCACUGUAUGGUGGGUGGCAGCCAAUUCAUACUUACACCAGCCGAUGAAAACCCGUACUUCUUCUUGAUUUGAUCAACUGCACCUGCUGCCUUGUUAUCUCCUGCUGCAUUCCAAUCAGCUUGCUCUUCCUUGGCUGAGUUUUUCUUCAUCUGUUUUAAUUUUCCUGAAAUUUUUUUAUUUGUAUGAAGUCACAAUCAGCGGUGGUUCCAAGUCUCAUUGUGUAAUAAAACUUCUCUAUUUUACAUUGUCACAGCGGGCAGCCUACGUAAAUUUAGGCUUCGUAUUUGAAAGAUAUAAUACUACACUCGUCUUCAUUUUGAGAA